AUUGAACGCUGGCGGCAGGCCUAACACAUACAAGUCGAACGGUAACAGGAAGCAGCUUGCUGCUUCGCUGACGAGUGGCGGACGGGUGAGUAAUGUCUGGGAAGCUGCCUGAUGGAGGGGGAUAACUACUGGAAACGGUAGCUAAUACCGCAUAAUGUCGCAAGACCAAAGAGGGGGACCUUCGGGCCUCUUGCCAUCGGAUGUGCCCAGAUGGGAUUAGCUUGUUGGUGGGGUAACGGCUCACCAAGGCGACGAUCCCUAGCUGGUCUGAGAGGAUGACCAGCCACACUGGAACUGAGACACGGUCCAGACUCCUACGGGAGGCAGCAGUGGGGAAUAUUGCACAAAGGGCGCAAGCCUGAUGCAGCCAUGCCGCGUGUAUGAAGAAGGCCUUCGGGUUGUAAAGUACUUUCAGCGGGGAGGAAGGGAGUAAAGUUAAUACCUUUGCUCAUUGACGUUACCCGCAGAAGAAGCACCGGCUAACUCCGUG
rnacentral:rRNA from 1 species